GUUGCGGUAUAACCCGGGUGACAAUUUUCACCCCCAUUUAGAUGGAUCUUAUAUCAGUGAGGAUGGAGACCGAAGUUAUAUGUCCGUACAGGUGUAUCUCAAUCAAGUAAGUAUACAUAUCUUAAUCUAUUGGUUUCCAUAUCAAAUCAAUUUACUUCUUAAUUAAGUGCAUAUAUUUGAUUAAAAUCGAAUUACAAUGAAAACAAGUAUUAGAAUGUAAAUAUAUGUACAUAUUUAGCUUGAACAUUGGUUAAAAUUAUUGUUGCAUGUGAUCUAUAAAGCAAAUUAUGUAAUAUAUUAAGCUGCACAUGGUACAGAUUAUACUAGAAAAUACAUUUUGUGUUAUUUAUCCCUUUUUUUUACACUAAGAAUUUGUUCGAUCAUUACUUUGGCAUCCUAAUGUUUUUUGUAGGCAGUUCCAAUUUUAUAAAUAAUCUAUUCUUACUGGGAAAUCAUACUUGUGAGAGUUCUCAGUAAAUCUUUAGAAAAACCGAUAUAUAUCAAACAAAUAUAUUUGUUUUUAGUAACAUGAUAUAUUGAUUGUGAUUUUACUGUAACAUUAAUUUUUUUCUGUGUUAUUUCAUUUUUUUGGAGGGAUACAUGUACAAUGUUAUUUACAAAAAUGUACUAAUCUUAUCAUUAUGGUUUAAUUGAUUUGUUGGUUGCUUAAAAUACUCUACUUUUUGGAGAAAAUGAAAUUGUGUAAAAACAUUGCAAAUAAAAUAGAAUGGAGUUGAUGGGUAUGAAACAAGAGAGCAAAUGAAGCUUGAGAAAAUCAAAUGAUUUAUUCACAACGGAAAAUAUAAAACAUUAGAUUAAAUGUGUACACUGAAUUACUAUGAACAUGGAAGUAAUAUUUCAAUAUUUCUUCCAUGCUAUGAAUAAUACUUUGCAGUAAAAUUAUAUUUAAGGUAUCUAUGAAUUUAAUUUUUUUGUGAGAUAUUAAAAUGAUCAUUAGUUCUACAUAACCGAGUCUUCAGUACAUAGAUAAACUGUCAAAAUGAGAUUUUCAUUUAUAAAAGUAGAAACUGUCAGAACAAAAAUGACUUUCUACAGAAAGCAUAAGGAGAUAACAUCUGUUUGGAUAAUAAGAAUUAUAAGUCUGAAAUUAAUCAUUUGUACUAAAUUUUGUAAAUAACUAUUGUUGCAGAAUUUCGAGGGUGGCAACACUACAUUUUUAUGCAUGUUGGAGGAAGAUAAAACAGAAAUUAUUCCACAAACAGGUAAUGAAAAUUGUCGCAUUGGCACUUAUACCACAUCUUCUUAUAUCUAAUAAUUAACAGGAAUAAUCUCAAACAAUAGUCAAAUGCAGUAAACAAAAAUCAAAUUGUUAAAAUGAAAAAUAGCAUUACAUCAGGCAAUUGAUAAGAAAAUACUUUGAAUUGGAGUAUCUUCCUUUGUCAAUAAUUGCUGUUAUAAGAGUUAUCUUCCUUUGGCCAUUAUUGUUUUUUUUUAGUUAUCUUCCUUUGUCCAUAAUUAUUGUUCUAGAGUUAUCUUUCUUUGUCCAUGAUUGUAGUUUUAAGAACAGGUAGCAUCAAACACUAUGUAUGACUUAUGAAGUUUCAAUAUCAUUUUUUUCUUGAGAAAUAUGGUUAUAAGCACAUACAUCAUUUUGUAACUUGAAUUUAGUGUAAUGGCAGAUAUUCAUCAUGACCCACACAUUUGUAAAAAUAGUUUUGCAUAAAAAAUUAAAACAUAUUCAUGCAGGAGUGUCUCCAAAAAUGAUAAUUUCUCACAAUAACUGAAAAUAAAUGGUGUGCAGAAAAAAAUGUUCUCUGCUUCCCCCAUUAUUGUUGUCCCCUAACUGUUAAACAUAUAUAUUUUAUUUUCAUAGAAGGCAUGUUCUUCUUUAACAAUUGGUUUUCUUUUUAAAUAUUAGAUACAUUAAGGAUAUUUCAUUUAGUUUGUUUAGAAACUUGUUACAAAAGACAAAGACAACUCUACACUUUUAUCACAUGAAGUAAACAUUCAAUGUAGUUUCUCAAAAAUAGAGGUAUUAUCACAUUUAUCAAUUUUUUCAUAUUUCUAGGUACAAUGUUGAUAUUUGAGCAUGAUAUCCUACAUGAAGAAAGUAUGUACUCCGUUCAGAUGUUAUGUACUCUGGUGAAACUAUACCAAAGAAAUCCAAGCUGUCGAGACUUUGUCAUCUCUUUAAAACUUGA
rnacentral:lncRNA from 1 species